rnacentral:rRNA from 1 species
CUACGGGUCGCAGCAGUGAGGAAUUUUGCGCAAUGGGGGGAACCCUGACGCAGCAACGCCGUGUGAGUGAAGAAGGCCUUUGGGUCGUAAAGCUCUGUCAACUGGGAAGAAGUUACUAUGCUUAAAUAGAGUGUAGUAUUGACGGUACCAGUGGAGGAAGCGUCGGCUAACUCCGUGCCAGCAGCCGCGGUAACACGGGGGACGCAAGCGUUAUUCGGAAUUAUUGGGCGUAAAGGGCGCGUAGGCGGUCUUGUCGGUCAGGUGUGAAAGCCCGGGGCUCAACCCCGGACGUGCACUUGAAACAGCAAGACUUGAGUACGGGAGAGGAAAGCGGAAUUCCUGGUGUAGAGGUGAAAUUCGUAGAUAUCAGGAGGAACACCGAUGGCGAAGGCAGCUUUCUGGACCGAAACUGACGCUGAGGCGCGAAGGCGUGGGUAGCGAACGGGAUUAGAUACCCCUGUAGUC